GGAAGCGAUCAUACCAGCACUAAAGUACCGGAUCCCAUCAGAACUCCGAAGUUAAGCGUGCUUGGGCGAGAGUAGUACUAGGAUGCGUGACCUCUUGGGAAGUCCUCGUGUUGCAUUCC
rnacentral:rRNA from 1 species